UUAAGUUCAGCGGGUAUUCCUACCUGAUCCGAGGUCAACCUUAAGAAGUAGGGGGUUUUACGGCCAGCACCCGCCACACGCCCUGAGCGAAGAGUAAACUACUGCACUCGGUGUGAUAGCGAGCCCGCCACUGGUUUUAGGAGGCUGCGGCGGCCGCAGGGCUCCAACGCAAGCCUAGGGCUUGAUGGUUGAAAUGACGC
rnacentral:misc_RNA from 1 species